rnacentral:rRNA from 1 species
AGAAUUUGAUCUUGGUUCAGGAUGAACGCUGGCGGCGUGCCUAACACAUGCAAGUCGAGCGAUUCUCUUCGGAGAAGAGCGGCGGACGGGUGAGUAACGCGUGGGUAACCUGCCUCAUACACAUGGAUAACAUACCGAAAGGUAUGCUAAUACAGGAUAACAUAAGAGAUUCACAUGGAUUUCUUAUCAAAGCUCCGGCGGUAUGAGAUGGACCCGCGUCUGAUUAGCUAGUUGGUAAGGUAACGGCUUACCAAGGCGACGAUCAGUAGCCGACCUGAGAGGGUGAUCGGCCACAUUGGAACUGAGACACGGUCCAAACUCCUACGGGAGGCAGCAGUGGGGAAUAUUGCACAAUGGGCGAAAGCCUGAUGCAGCAACGCCGCGUGAGUGAUGAAGGCUUUCGGGUCGUAAAACUCUGUCCUCAAGGAAGAUAAUGACGGUACUUGAGGAGGAAGCCCCGGCUAACUACGUGCCAGCCGCCGC